GAUGAACGCUGGCGGCGUGCCUAAUACAUGCCAGUCGAGCGAACGGACGAGAAGCUUGCUUCUCUGAUGUUAGCGGCGGACGGGUGAGUAACACGUGGAUAACCUACCUAUAAGACUGGGAUAACUUCGGGAAACCGUAGCUAAUACCGGAUAAUAUUUUGAACCGCAUGGUUCAAAAGUGAAAGACGGUCUUGCUGUCACUUAUAGAUGGAUCCGCGCUGCAUUAGCUAGUUGGUAAGGUAACGGCUUACCAAGGCAACGAUGCAUAGCCGACCUGAGAGGGUGAUCGGCCAAACUGGAACUGAGACACGGUCCAGACUCCUAAGGGAGGCAGCAGUAGGGAAUCUUCCGCAAUGGGCGAAAGCCUGACGGAGCAACGCCGCGUGAGUGAUGAAGGUCUUCGGAUCGUAAAACUCUGUUAUUAGGGAAGAACAUAUGUGUAAGUAACUGUGCACAUCUUGACGGUACCUAAUCAGAAAGCCACGGCUAACUACGUG
rnacentral:rRNA from 1 species